rnacentral:rRNA from 1 species
AUUGAACGCUGGCGGAAUGCUUUACACAUGCAAGUCGAACGGCAGCACGGACUUCGGUCUGGUGGCGAGUGGCGAACGGGUGAGUAAUGUAUCGGAACGUGCCCAGUCGUGGGGGAUAACGUAGUGAAAAUUACGCUAAUACCGCAUACGAUCUAUGGAUGAAAGCGGGGGAUCGCAAGACCUCGCGCGAUUGGAGCGGCCGAUAUCAGAUUAGGUAGUGGGUGGGGUAAAGGCCCACCAAGCCAACGAUCUGUAGCUGGUAUGAGAGGACGACCAGCCACACUGGAACUGAGACACAGUCCAGACUCCUAGGGGAGGCAGCAGUGGGGAAUUUUGGACAAUGGACGAAUGCCUGAUCCAGCCAUUCCGCGUGCAGGAUGAAGGCCCUCGGGUUGUAAACUGCUUUUGUACAGAACGAAAAGGUUUCUACUAAUACUAGGAGCUCAUGACGGUACUGUAAGAAUAAGCGCCGGCUAACUACGUGCCAGCCGCCGCAGUAA